CUCCUUCUAUUUCCAUUUCUCUCUCUCACACAAAUCUAUUGCUUUCAAACCUUUACUUCGACUACAUUGUCUGGCCUCAAGUAGUCUUGCUAAAAAAAAAGGAACCCCGCAUGUAAUCCCUUUUCUCUUUUUGCAAGAAAUAAAAAACGUGAAUCUCGUCCCGAUUAAAAAAAAAAUUCCUGAAGCAGCUUUAAUUUCACGCUCCAGCGGGAGCAAUUGCUUAAUGGACAUGCCUCAGCAGAGGGCCUAAUUGCCCGAGGGAGGAAGUCCAGCGUUAGCUGGCGAGGGAGCCCGAGCAAGCCCGAGUGCCAGGCCCGUGGAUUCAUGCCAGCCCAAGCGCCUGAGGUGAGUUUGACAUCAGCGGACGUCAGAUGCCUGUUAUAUAAAACCACAGAUUGAGCAAAGCCCAGUUUUCUAUUUUUUCAUUUUUUUUGUUGGGUUUUUCAGAACAAAUUCACAAACCCAACAAAUUAUGAAGAAUUGAGAAACAAAACUAGCUUUAUCUGUGUGUGUUCAGUAAAUUCGAUUCAAAAAAUCCCUUUUUUUAUUUUAUUUUCUGCUAUCUUGUGGAAUGAUGGAGCUGCAAAGAUCAGCAACGCUGAGAUUCUUUCUAGGGUUUAUGCUGCUGUCUAUGGCGAAUGGGAGAUUCGUGGUGGAGAAGAACAACUUGAGGGUCACAUCCCCGGAUGAAAUCAAAGGCACGUACGACAGCGCCAUUCAUGGUGGAGGAUGGAGAUGCAAAAUGCGAUUACUGUUUAUUAAGGACGGUUAUUAUUCAUUGGGUGGAUAGCAUAGUGUAUUACAUGGGGGAAGGGUUCCCAUGUUGGAACUGCUCUGAAAAGAAGAAAGCGAAUCCCGUGAGGGAGAUCAAGGUCCAGAAGCUGGUCCUCAACAUCUACAUCGAUGAGAGCGGAGAUCUACUCACGAGAGCCGCCAAGGGUAUUUUGAGGUAUCCAAAAUGUGUAACUCACGAGAGCCACCAAGCAACUUAGUGGCCAAACACCUGUUUUCUCCAAAGGUAAUAAUUUUUUAGCUCUUUGGAUCUUUAUUGGUAAUUCAUUUUUUGCAUCAUUUUAUCUGUCUACUACUAGAAAUUCCAAAAUGUGUAAUUCACAACCAAAUUGAUGUUCAAGUCCAUAUGGUAUUUUGAAGUGUACUCAAUUUAUAAUUUUAGCUAAUAAGACAAUAUUAUGUUCAUUCAUCUAUAUUCGAGUUCACAUCGUUCUAUUUUCAAUUUUGUAAGAGAUGACCUUUUACUAAUUGUCAAGGUGCUUCCAACCAUAAAUUGAUAUAUUACGUACCUUUAUUUUUUCUCUUAAUUUAUCAGGAAUUUAUUUGCAUAUGUGUAGUGUAGACAAUUUUAACCAAUGAGUUUUAACUUUAAUUGGAAUUGAUCUUUGUCUUACUUAUGGCAUAUACAAUGAAAAUAUGAUAUCUGUCUACUUUUUUUUCUUUUCAUUUGUCGUUAUUUUCCAUACAUUUGUGUUGAUAUAGGGAAGCAAUGUGAUAGCUAACUCUGUGUGUCACAUUUUUGUGUAGAAUUUUUAUUUUUAUUUGAGACGUGGAUAUAAAGAGAUGGAUUGUGUUUAUCCGGUUUAUAUUAAUUCAAAGAAAAUUGUGGCUCAAGGGAACAAUUAAUGAUCCACAGGGCAUCAAAGUAUCUUACUCAAUUGUAUAUUACACGUGUGUACUGCAUUAUGUCUGUGCGAAUACCUCUUUUCACUGUCAAUCUAUGUUAGUUUUAAAUUCUAAGUUGAUUUAACAAAUAGGUCUCUUUUUAUUUCAAAUUAAUUUGGUUCUCGCUAAAUGAAUCAAAGAUCACAAGACUAGAACCAAUGGUUUCCAAAAAUGGUUGGUCCUUGAAUAUUUUCAUUUAUGCUUUUUUCAGUUCUUUGAAUGGACUUCCUAUAAUCCAAAAUGAGCUAUUGAACAGCUCUUUUGCUACAUUGUGUUUGCAAAUCAAUAUUUAGACUAAUAAUUGAAGGCUAAUUCUUUUUUGUUGAAAAAUGUAAUUUGGUUUUGUAGGUAAAGAUUGCAAAUUUGAUGCAGGUAUGAAUACUUACACUUAUUCGUCUUUGCGUUUUCUCCUUCUUUCAAGAAAUUACAUUUCCUUUCACAACUUCAGCUAAAACCAUUCAGCAAACAAACAUAUUCACGAAGGAGGUUGUUAGUUCAAGUGCCAAUUUCAGGCAUUGAUACACUGACUUUAUAUCAACAUUUUUUGGAUUGCAUAGGUUAUUUUUAGGAGUUGACAGAAAUGAAAAAUUUGUUUAGUUUAAUAUGUUUCUACUAAAUUUUUCAGGCUAAAAAGGAUGACAAGAAUAUUAGUGGUCAAUUGUAUUCUAGUUUAAUGAGGGGAGGAACAAGUAAACUUAUUCUACGUUUUCUUUCGUUUUUAGUUGAGCAUUUAUUUGUAUUUUUCAAAAAUUUUGGAUUGUUUUUGUUGGACAUUGAUGAUUGUGGCAUUUUAGAAAAAGGUAUAUCCCAAAUAAUAAUUUUGUUUGGUUUUUUAUUCCUUUUCCGUUUCUCUUCUUUUGAUUCCCUAUUUAUAUAUUCUGUGUUUUCUUAUGGCAGUUUUGAAACCUUAUCUUUUCUGAAUUUGUAUGCUUUAUGGGUUGUCAUUUAGUCUACUUAAUUAUCAUCGUGAGCAUAGGAGGAUGUUCGUGGCACACUACAACAAGUUUUCUUUUUGGCAAGUUAAUUCAUAUUCAUGAUUCCGUUAUCAGUUGCAUUUGCUUUCCCAUGAUUUCUCAUGAAUUGGACGUGAAUGUAUUUUUAUUGAGCAACAGAUGCUUCAACCAUAUAUUAUUAUAAUUGUACGAAGACUUAGCAUUACAAGGUUUUGAAAUUAUCUCUUUCUUUGUCUAAUUUGGUUUUUGACAAAUUAUAUGAAAUUUUAUUGCUGUUAAUUUUGAGGAAGUUCUCAGAUUCAAGACCAUAUAUUUUUUCAAUUUCUACCAUUUGGUUUCUGUUGACUUUAACUUUGAGUUGUAGUGGUGUUUGUGUUUUCUAAAUUUCUUCCAAUAACUUAGUUUUGUUGUAAAAUCGAUGGUGUGUGCAGUGGAAUAAAAGAAACAAGACACAAAAUUUACGAGGUUCCUCUACAGUCAGUGUGACUGGAGUACGUCCUC